UUCAUAUCAGAUGAGCAUUCAGUUCUUGCAAAGAGAAAUCUGAGACUCAAACAGAAGAAUCUACUUCGAACCCCGAUUGGAGCUCUCCGGUAGAGCUACUUCAGAGCUACACUAAACCUGAGGCUUCUAUCUGUGCAAGGUAUUAUCUGGAUAUCACCACCACCACAGCCACCGUCAUCGUCUUUGCUUCAAACCCCCUCCAUGAGGCUCCUUGGACUCUUCAAUUGAUUAAUGUUCUUUUGCUAGCAAGGUUGAAGGUUUUAUGCAGCAAAUUAGCAGAGUUUGAUUGAUUUAUUAAUAAAGUUUGGCUGCUUGAAAUGUAUGGUCAGGGUAAAGAUCACUCUAUUUCUUAUGUUUGAUUGCUAACACACAGACUCUUCACAUUAAGGUAAAGACUCUUGGCUCCAAAUUAGGUGGGUCUUUCCUGUUUGUGUUUUCUGCUUUUAAAUUGGUCUUUCAUCUAAAAAAAUUUCAAAUUGGUCUUUCCUGUUUGGAAGAUUUGGCAUUUGUUUUCAGAAAUCUCACCAAAGGUCUUUACGAUAUUUAAUAAGGCCAUGAUUUUUGGGCUUUAUAUGUGUAUCUCUAUGAACUUUUUUUUUUCUCUUUUGAAAUUUUUGGCAUUAUACUUUAACUACAUGUCUCUUUUCAGUUAUGAUAUUAAGAAAGAUGUAUGAAACUAUGGAUUUAAAAGGAAUGUAUGAAGAGGAGUUGUUUUGAGGAGUUGCA